GACGAACGAUGGCGGCGUGCUUAACACAUGCAAGUCGAACGGAGUGGCGAACGGGUGAGUAACACGUGGGUGACCUGCCCUGCACUUCGGGAUAAGCCUGGGACACUGGGUCUAAUACCGGAUAGUGUGGGAUGGGCCCGCGGCCUAUCAGCUUGUUGGUGGGGUAAUGGCCUACCAAGGCGGCGACGGGUAGCCGGACUGAGAGGGGGGACGGCCCCAUUGGGACUGAUACACGUCCCAGGCUCCGACGGGAGGCAGCAGUGGGGAAUAUUGCUCAAUGGUGGGAAGCCUGAUGCAGCGACGCCGCGUGGGGGAUGACGGCCUUCGGGUUGUAAACUCCUUUCACCAUCGACGCGGUAGAUGGAGAAGAAGCACCGGCGAACUACGUGCCAGCAGCCGCGGUAAUUC
rnacentral:rRNA from 1 species